UACGAAGGGGGCUAGCGUUGCUCGGAAUCACUGGGCGUAAAGGGUGCGUAGGCGGAUUUGUAAGUCAGGGGUGAAAUCCCGGGGCUCAACCUCGGAACUGCCUUUGAUACUGCAAAUCUCGAGUCCGGAAGAGGUGAGUGGAAUUCCUAGUGUAGAGGUGAAAUUCGUAGAUAUUAGGAAGAACACCAGUGGCGAAGGCGGCUCACUGGUCCGGUACUGACGCUGAGGUGCGAAAGCGUGGGGAGCAAACAGG
rnacentral:rRNA from 1 species